rnacentral:rRNA from 1 species
UACGUAGGUGGCAAGCGUUGUCCGGAAUUAUUGGGCGUAAAGCGCGCGCAGGCGGUCCUUUAAGUCUGAUGUGAAAGCCCACGGCUCAACCGUGGAGGGUCAUUGGAAACUGGGGGACUUGAGUACAGAAGAGGAAAGCGGAAUUCCACGUGUAGCGGUGAAAUGCGUAGAGAUGUGGAGGAACACCAGUGGCGAAGGCGGCUUUCUGGACGAUAACUGACGCUGAGACGCGAAAGCGUGGGGAGCAAACAGG